GCCAGCAGCAUACCACCCUGCAUCCCACUGCUGGCUUGCUUCUGAUGCUAAGCAGGGUUGGUCCUGGAUGGGAGACCAGAUGCUGCUGGAA
rnacentral:rRNA from 1 species